GGAUGUGAGGGCAAUCUGGCUGUGACAUCUGUCACCCUAUUGAUCACACCAGGGUUGAUUCAGCUGAUCUGGCUGGCUAGGCGGCUGUCCCCUUUCUCCCUCACUGCUUCAUGUGUGUCCCUUCUGAAGCUGUGUGCUCAGUCAAAGAGGAUGGCCUUCCCUGAAUAGAGAUGGAUGUAUCUUUGGUAUACAAGUAAGGUAUACAAGUAGCUACACUCCCCUGCUAGAACCUCCAAAUAAGCUCUCAAGGAAUAGAGCAGGUGAGAUUAGGGAUCUUAGGGUAGAAGAAAGCUAGGAAGUCCAUUCUAGGCAUGUUCCUGGGGGUACACAACUGUGGUAGUUUUGCCUGAGUUU
rnacentral:snRNA from 1 species